rnacentral:rRNA from 1 species
AUGCAGUCGACGGGCUCUUCGGAGCAAGUGGCGGACGGGUGAGUAACGCGUGAGAAUGUGCCUUCAGGAUGGGGAUAACAAUAGGAAACUAAUGCUAAGACCCAAUGUGCCUUAAGUGGUGAAAAAUGAAAAUUGCCUGAAGAGGAGCUCGCGUCUGAUUAGCUAGUUGGGGUGGUAAAAGCGCACCAAGGCAACGAUCAGUAGCUGGUCUGAGAGGAUGAGCAGCCACACUGGGACUGAGACACGGCCCAGACUCCUACGGGAGGCAGCAGUGGGGAAUUUUCCGCAAUGGGCGAAAGCCUGACGGAGCAAUACCGCGUGAGGGAGGAAGGCUCUUGGGUUGUAAACCUCAAAACUUAGGGAAGAAAAAAAUGACGGUACCUAAUUUAAGCAUCGGCUAACUCCGUG